rnacentral:rRNA from 1 species
AGAGUUUGAUCAUGGCUCAGAUUGAACGCUGGCGGCAGGCCUAACACAUGCAAGUCGAGCGGUAGCACAGAGAGCUUGCUCUCGGGUGACGAGCGGCGGACGGGUGAGUAAUGUCUGGGAAACUGCCUGAUGGAGGGGGAUAACUACUGGAAACGGUGGCUAAUACCGCAUAACGUCGCAAGACCAAAGAGGGGGACCUUCGGGCCUCUUGCCAUCAGAUGUGCCCAGAUGGGAUUAGCUAGUAGGUGGGGUAACGGCUCACCUAGGCGACGAUCCCUAGCUGGUCUGAGAGGAUGACCAGCCACACUGGAACUGAGACACGGUCCAGACUCCUACGGGAGGCAGCAGUGGGGAAUAUUGCACAAUGGGCGCAAGCCUGAUGCAGCCAUGCCGCGUGUAUGAAGAAGGCCUUCGGGUUGUAAAGUACUUUCAGCGGGGAGGAAGGUGUUGAGGUUAAUAACCUCAGCAAUUGACGUUACCCGCAGAAGAAGCACCGGCUAACUCCGUGCCAGCAGCCGCGGUAAUACGGAGGGUGCAAGCGUUAAUCGGAAUUACUGGGCGUAAAGCGCACGCAGGCGGUCUGUCAAGUCGGAUGUGAAAUCCCCGGGCUCAACCUGGGAACUGCAUUCGAAACUGGCAGGCUAGAGUCUUGUAGAGGGGGGUAGAAUUCCAGGUGUAGCGGUGAAAUGCGUAGAGAUCUGGAGGAAUACCGGUGGCGAAGGCGGCCCCCUGGACAAAGACUGACGCUCAGGUGCGAAAGCGCGGGGAGCAAACAGGAUUAGAUACCCUGGUAGUCCACGCCGUAAACGAUGUCGACUUGGAGGUUGUGCCCUUGAGGCGUGGCUUCCGGAGCUAACGCGUUAAGUCGACCGCCUGGGGAGUACGGCCGCAAGGUUAAAACUCAAAUGAAUUGACGGGGGCCCGCACAAGCGGUGGAGCAUGUGGUUUAAUUCGAUGCAACGCGAAGAACCUUACCUACUCUUGACAUCCAGAGAACUUUCCAGAGAUGGAUUGGUGCCUUCGGGAACUCUGAGACAGGUGCUGCAUGGCUGUCGUCAGCUCGUGUUGUGAAAUGUUGGGUUAAGUCCCGCAACGAGCGCAACCCUUAUCCUUUGUUGCCAGCGGUUAGGCCGGGAACUCAAAGGAGACUGCCAGUGAUAAACUGGAGGAAGGUGGGGAUGACGUCAAGUCAUCAUGGCCCUUACGAGUAGGGCUACACACGUGCUACAAUGGCGCAUACAAAGAGAAGCGACCUCGCGAGAGCAAGCGGACCUCAUAAAGUGCGUCGUAGUCCGGAUUGGAGUCUGCAACUCGACUCCAUGAAGUCGGAAUCGCUAGUAAUCGUAGAUCAGAAUGCUACGGUGAAUACGUUCCCGGGCCCCUUGUAGA